rnacentral:lncRNA from 1 species
AUUCAUAUAGCCAUAACAUUUUCCUAUUCGCAUCAUAAUCGCUAUUAAAAAGAGUAUUGCUUCUAUACUUGUUAUUUUUCGAUACCUUUCAUUAAUUUUUAUUCAGCGGUUUCAGAUUUAAUUUUUCAUCCUCAGUAGAGAUGUAAAGGGGUAGGAUUCGGGGCUGAUUUCAAAAACCCAAACCCGAACCUAAAUCCAACGAAUUUUAAAAAAUCAUAUCCACUCCCGUAUCUAACUAAAAAUUCGAAACCCGAACCCUAGCUCGAUCCUGAAAAUCCGAACUCGAAAUAUUUAUUUCUCUUUACAGUAUUUUAAAAUAUAUUAAAUUAAAUCUAUAUUUUUAAAAUACAUAUUCAAAUAUAACAUCAAAUAUUUAUAUAUAUUACAUAUAACGUAAAAUAAAUUCGGAUUUCGGUCGGUUUCUUGUUCGGAUCAGAUACAAUCAAAAUCCAUACCCGAAUUCAAAUCCAUCAUGUUUUCGUUCUUGACAUCCAUAUCCAAAACUAUAUCCAUUUUGUAUAGGUAAAUCGACUGCAUUUGCUUUUGGAUUUGGAUUCGAAUUCAGAUAAAAUUAUAGGUAUCCGUAUCUAUUGACAUCUCUAAUCCACAGAUAUUUUGUAAUUUCAUAUCCGUAAUAUACGGAUAUUUUAUUAAAAAAUAUUACAACAUAUUAAAUACGUUGAAUUUUAUUUUUUUUAUCUACAUUUAAAUUUUUUUUAAUUUGUGAUAAAAAAUUAAUAUCUAAACUGGAGAAGUUUAAAAGUUUCUUAAACAAAUUAAAUAUGUUGAAUUCGUUAUUAUCAACAUUAAAUUUCUUAAAAUAGUAACACAAAAUUUCUAUUAUUUAAAUUUAAAUUUAAAUAUUAAAUAUUUAAAUUCAACAUAUUUAGAAAUAUUACUAUUUUUAAAAUUCCUAAAAUUUAAAUUAGAAGAAUUCUAAAAUUUCUAAAAUU